UGGGGUGAAGUCGUAACAAGGUAACCUCAGCUCGAUCAUGGCUCAGAUUGCUGGGGUGAAGUCGUAACAAGGUAACCAGUUUGAUCAUGGCUCAGAUAGAGUUUGAUCAUGGCUCAGAUUUAACGCUGGUGGUAUGCAUAACACAUGCAAGUUGUACGGCUAAUUUUUUUAGUAGUAGCGAACGGGUGAGUAAUAUACUAUUACAUACCUAAUAGUUUGGUAUAAAGUAAUGAAAAUUACCUUAAUUCCUUAUAUUAAUUUGCAAUUAUUCAAAUUGAAAGACCUAGAAAUAUUUCUAGGUCGCUUUUAGAUUGUGUAGUAUCAGAUUAGUUAGUUGCUAGUUUAAUAUACUAACAAGGCGAUGAUCUGUAGUUGUUCUGCAAGGAAGUACAACCACACUGGGACUGAGAUACGGCCCAGACUCCCACGGGAGGCAGCAGUGAGGAAUCUUGGACAAUGAGCGACAGCUUGAUCCAGCAAUACCACGUGUGCGACGAAGGUUUACACUGUAAAGCACUUUUUUAGGAAACUAAGGUCUUAAUGGCUUGAAUUUAUCUUAAGAAUAAGCACCGGCUAAUUACGUGCCAGCAGCCGCGGUAAUACGUAAGGUGCUAGCGUUAUUCGGUUUUAUUUGGCGUAAAGCGUGUGUAGGCUGUUUAUUGUGAUAAGGGUAAAAACUUAAAGCUCAACUUUAUUAGGCUCUUUUUACUAAUAAUCUAGAACUUAAAUAGAGAUAGUGGAAUUUUGCAAGUAACAGUGAAAUGUGUAAAUAUGCAAAGGAACACCGAUAGCGAAGGCAACUAUCUGAUUUAUUUUGACGCUGAUACACUAAAGCGUGGGGAGCAAACAGGAUUAGAUACCCUGGUAGUCCACGCCCUAAACGUUGUCAACUAAUUGCUUGUAUUACUUUUAAGAGUUUUAUGAGUGAUAUAGCUAACGCGUUAAGUUGACCGCCUGGGGACUACGAUCGCAAGAUUAAAACUCAAAGGAAUUGACGGGGACCUGCACAAGCGGUGGAUGAUGUGGAUUAAUUCGAUGUAACACGAAGAACCUUACCUACUUUUGACAUGUACAGAAUUUACUUGAGAAAGUGAAGUGCCGGUAUUAGGAACUGUAACACAGGUGCUGCAUGGCUGUCGUCAGCUCGUGUCGUGAGAUGUUGGGUUAAGUCCUAUAACGAGCGUAACCCUCUUUUCAUAUUGCUAAUGUAUAGUACUUUUGAAAGACUGCCAAUGAUUAAGUUGGAGGAAGGAGAGGAUGACGUCAAGUCCUCAUGGCCUUUAUAAGUAGGGCUUCACACGUCAUACAAUGGUUAAUACAAUAUGAUGCAAUCUUGUGAAAGUGAGCUAAUCAGUAAAAUUAACCUCAGUUCGGAUUGUACCCUGCAACUCGGGUACAUGAAGUUGGAAUCGCUAGUAAUCGCAGAUUAGAAUGCUGCGGUGAAUACGUUCUCAGGUCUUGUACACACCGCCCGUCACACCAUGGAAGUUUAUUUUGUUGGAAUUAGUUUUUAAGUAAAUUAACAAGGCGAGAUAAGUAACUGGGGUGAAGUCGUAACAAGGUA
rnacentral:rRNA from 1 species